GAUGAACGCUGGCGGCGUGCCUAAUACAUGCAAGUCGAGCGAACAGACGAUGAGCUUGCUCCUUUGCCGUUAGCGGCUGACGGGUGAGUAACACGUGGAUAACCUACUUAUAUGACUGGGAUAAUUUCGGAAAACCGGUGCUAAUACUAGAUCACAUGUCGUACCGCUUGGUUCAACAGUGAUUGACGGUUUUGCCGUCUGUUAUAGAUGGUUCCGGGUCGCAUUAGCUAGUUGGUAAGGUAACGGCUUACCAAGGCGACGAUGCGUAGCCGACCUGAGAGGAUGAUCAGCCACACUGGAACUGAGACACGGUCCAGACUCCUACGGGAGGCAGCAGUAGGGAAUAUUCCACAAUGGGCGCAAGCCUGACCCAGCCACACCGCGUGAGUGAAGAAGGUCUUCGGAUCGUAAAACUCUUUUAUUAGGAAAGAACAAAAGUAUAAUAAACUACCCACGUUUUGACGGUACCUAAACAAAAAGCACCGGCUAACUACGUG
rnacentral:rRNA from 1 species